UGCUACAGUGAUUAUAUUCAUACCGCCCCAGUCUGAAACUCUGUGACUGAUUGGUGAUCUCUGAGUAGUA
rfam:Lingula anatina scaffold599, whole genome shotgun sequence.